ensembl:lncRNA
CUUGAUUGAUAGAUGUUAUUGAUCAUAGCGAUACGGUUUUAGCGUUUUCCGUGUUUCCCCUUCCUGUAUUCAGCAGUGGCGUGCCGCCACCGCUAGGAAAGUUAGCUCCGCUCCUGUUUGGAUUGAUAGUUUGGUGAAACGUGACAACGGGGAUGUUUCGUGCUCGACACUGAACAGCCAUCCGACAUAUCAAACAAACAAAAAGAAUCUGUAGACUACAAAGCCAAUGGAAAUAAUUAUCCUUUAAUUAUAUCCUGGGCCUUUAUAUGUUCUAAAUAGGCAGGUCAGUAUUUUUAACCGUUCAUCUUAAUGCCACCACCACACAGUCUGGACACUUUGAUUAUUAUCAGUCCAAUCGCUAUGGAAUGUUUUGUAUGCCUUGAUUUCCUUCCCAGUUUAGACAUUAAGUCUACAUAUCCGUUUUAAUCGUCUACUGGCUACUGGCUCCAAAUAAAGGUGACCUCCUAAUUAAUUCUCGUUCUCGUCUCGACCUUCUGGCUCACAACUAAUCCCAGAGCAUUCAUUCCCAUACGCCCACCUUGUUAACUCGUUAAUUAACUUCACCUGUCUCUCACACGCACCCACACGUCUAUAUUAAGGUGCUCACGUAGGUUUGGUUUAAUUUUUAUGUCUUUAGCCUCGCUUAUCAGGUUUUCGCACCAGGUAGUGCGCUCGCGUUUUCCGUCAAUUUCAGCUAAACUCAAAAGGGACCCACCGCUACUUAUAAACGUGUUUUUGUGUGCUACUUUUGACUGAACAAUCCUGACAAACAUGUCAACCAGAGGAAGGUCUUCAACAAAGAACACCACAGACAAUGCCUUGCUGAUGACUGACUUAACUUGACUGUAUGGGGGGGCCCCUUGCCCCCCCAUAUAUCACCGACGACGUCCUAAUUGUGAACGGCGGGGGAUGAGGUCACAGUUGUAACUGGGUUUUUGAUCGUGGACAGUAAGGGUUCUCUGCCUGAUGACUCCAUUGAACGCCCCCUUGUGCGGCAAGGAAUCGUCUUAUCUCCUGCCAGUUGUAAAUGGUGUUGCAGUGUACCGCGUGCUAAAGGAGCCUGGGAAAGGAGGAGUCAAAGCGCCUUUCCUUAGCAGUUGGACAAUAAUUGGACCCGCUCUCAUCAUGGCUGCCACUCCUGGGUCAUUUUACUCUACCUUUCUGUCCACAAACCUCAUCUCCCUUGUAAAUGGUUUUCCUGUUAAUACUUAAACUAAAAUGGUUGCUAUUAUUUUAACUUGUGUCGCUUCGUGAAUAAAAACUAUUUACAAAUAUUUGCAUUUUAUUGAUGAAUCCAGAAAAAGGUUUUCAUAUUGAACAGAAGAAAAUUGAAUUUUUAGGCAAGUUGGCUGCAAGCUAUUGGGUGAAAAGGGAUUUCAGUUGUGCAAACACCUCACUUGCAUCAAUGUCAUGUGUUGAUUC